UACGUAGGGCGCAAGCGUUAUCCGGAAUUAUUGGGCGUAAAGAGCUCGUAGGCGGUUUGUCGCGUCUGCCGUGAAAGUCCGGGGCUCAACUCCGGAUCUGCGGUGGGUACGGGCAGACUAGAGUGCGGUAGGGGAGAUUGGAAUUCCUGGUGUAGCGGUGGAAUGCGCAGAUACCAGGAGGAACACCGAUGGCGAAGGCAGAUCUCUGGGCCGUAACUGACGCUGAGGAGCGAAAGUGUGGGGAGCGAACAGG
rnacentral:rRNA from 1 species